rnacentral:rRNA from 1 species
GACGAACGCUGGCGGCGUGCUUAACACAUGCAAGUCGAACGGAAAGGCCCUGCUUGCAGGGUCCUCGAGUGGCGCACGGGUGAGUAACACGUGGGUGCUCCGCCCUGCACUUCGGGAUAUGCCUGGAAAACUGGGUCAUAUACCGGAUAGGAGCUAUCUUCAUGGUGGGGGUUGGAAAGUUUUUUCGGUGUUGGAUGAGAUCGCGGCCUAUCAGCUUGUUGGUGGGGUAAUGGCCUACCAAGGCGGCGACGGGUAGCCGGCCUGAGAGGGUGGACGGCCACAUUGGGACUGAGAUACGGCCCAGACGCCUACGGGAGGCAGCAGUGGGGAAUAUUGCACAAUGGGCGCAAGCCUGAUGCAGCGACGCCGCGUGGGGGAUGACGGCCUUCGGGUUGUAAACUCCUUUCGCUAGGGACGAAGCUUUUUGUGACGGUACCUAGAUAAGAAGCACCGGCUAACUACGUG